CACCCACCCAACUCCAUUUUCAUUUCAUCUCCAUGAAAAUCAAAUUUUUUUCAUUUGAUUUUCCUUGUUUUCUUUUCAUUCCCUUUCUUUUCUUACUUCUUUCUUCUCCUAACUUCUUUGGCACCAAACCUGCAGCUUCUAACCUCAUUUUCUAGCACAACCGAACCUUAGGAGAGAGAAGAAAAAAAUCUCUCUUUUUUUCCUUUAUUUUUUAUUUCUACUCCACCAUCACCGACACUUGAAUUUUCAACUUUAAAUCUCCAUUUUUUAGGCUAAAAGGUUUUUGUUGAUCUUUAUGCCUCCAAGCUCACCAAGUUUUCAGACUCGAAGGUAGUUGGAUCCUAGGUAGAGGUGCUUCCUCCUAUUCAUCUUACGGUAGGUUUACCAGCACACCCCAUGAUAGUAUCCAUGCCAAAGUCACUCCACUGAUAGUCAAGGUCUUUUGUAUGUGUAUAUGGUUAUUUAAAUGUAAUUCAUGAGAUUUGUCGUAAACACUAUAUGUUUAGUUCACACGAUAAUGUCGCCACAAGUUGGCAGAUGGUAAUAUUAUUUUGUGAAUGAUAUAUAUUCAGUUGCCAUGAUUUAUUAUUGAGAA